rnacentral:rRNA from 1 species
CCUACGGGAGGCAGCAGUAGGGAAUAUUGCUCAAUGGGGGAAACCCUGAAGCAGCAACGCCGCGUGGAGGAUGAAGGUUUUCGGAUUGUAAACUCCUUUUGUUAGAGAAGAUAAUGACGGUAUCUAACGAAUAAGCACCGGCUAACUCCGUGCCAGCAGCCGCGGUAAUACGGAGGGUGCAAGCGUUACUAGGAAUCACUGGGCGUAAAGGGCGCGUAGGCGGGAUAGCAAGUCAGAUGUGAAAUCCUAUGGCUUAACCAUAGAACUGCAUUUGAAACUGUUAUUCUAGAGUAUGGGAGAGGUAGGUGGAAUUCUUGGUGUAGGGGUAAAAUCCGUAGAGAUCAAGAGGAAUACUCAUUGCGAAGGCGACCUGCUAGAACAUAACUGACGCUGAUGCGCGAAAGCGUGGGGAGCAAACAGGAUUAGAUACCCCGGUAGUC